AUUGAACGCUGGCGGCAGGCCUAACACAUGCAAGUCGAGCGGAGCGGCGGACGGGUGAGUAAUGCCUAGGAAUCUGCCUGGUAGUGGGGGAUAACGUCCGGAAACGGGCGCUAAUACCGCAUACUAUCAGAUGAGCCUAGGUAGGAUUAGCUAGUUGGUGGGGUAAAGGCAUACAAAGGCGCCGAUCCGUAACUGGUCUGAGAGGAUGAUCAGUCACACUGGAACUGAUACACGUUCCAUACUCCUACGUGAGUCAGCAGUGGGGAAUAUUGGACGAGGGGAGAAAGCCUGAUCCAGCCAUGCCGCGUUUGUGAAGAAGGUCUUCGGAUUGUAAAGCACUUUAAGUUGGGAGGCGUUACCAACAGAAUAAGCACCGGCUAACUUCGUGCCAGCAGCCGCGGUAAUUC
rnacentral:rRNA from 1 species